rnacentral:rRNA from 1 species
AGAGUUUGAUCCUGGCUCAGAACGAACGCUGGCGGCAGGCUUAACACAUGCAAGUCGAACGAUGUAGCAAUACAUAGUGGCGCACGGGUGAGUAACGCGUGGGAAUAUACCUUAUAGUGGGGAAUAACUUUGGGAAACUAAAGCUAAUACCGCAUACGCCCGAGAGGGGAAAGAUUUAUCGCUAUAAGAUUAGCCCGCGUGAGAUUAGGUAGUUGGUGGGGUAAUGGCCUACCAAGCCUACGAUCUCUAGCUGGUCUGAGAGGAUGAUCAGCCACACUGGAACUGAGACACGGUCCAGACUCCUACGGGAGGCAGCAGUGGGGAAUAUUGGGCAAUGGACGAAAGUCUGACCCAGCCAUGCCGCGUGAAUGAUGAAGGCCUUAGGGUUGUAAAGUUCUUUCGCCGAUGAAGAUAAUGACGGUAGUCGGAGAAGAAGCCCCGGCUAACUUCGUGCCAGCAGCCGCGGUAAUACGAAGGGGGCUAGCGUUGUUCGGAAUUACUGGGCGUAAAGCGAGCGUAGGUUGCUCGAUAAGUCAGUGGUGAAAGCCCAGAGCUCAACUCUGGAACUGCCAUUGAAACUGUCGAGCUGGAAUCUCAGAGGGGGUAGCGGAAUUCCAAAUGUAGGGGUGAAAUCCGUAGAUAUUUGGAGGAACACCGGUGGCGAAGGCGGCUACCUGGAUGAGUAUUGACACUGAGGCUCGAAAGCGUGGGGAUCAAACAGGAUUAGAUACCCUGGUAGUCCAA